rnacentral:rRNA from 1 species
AGCGAACGCUGGCGGCAGGCCUAACACAUGCAAGUCGAACGAACCUUUCGGGGUUAGUGGCGGAAGGGUGAGUAACACGUGGGAACGUGCCUUUAGGUUCGGAAUAACUCAGGGAAACUUGUGCUAAUACCGAAUGUGCCCUUCGGGGGAAAGAUUAAUCGCCUUUAGAGCGGCCCGCGUCUGAUUAGCUAGUUGGUUGAGGUAAUGGCUCACCAAGGCGACGAUCAGUAGUUGGUCUGAGAGGAUGAUCAGCCACAUUGGGACUGAGACACGGCCCAAACUCCUACGGGAUGCAGCAGUGGGGAAUCUUGCGCAAUGGGCGAAAGCCUGACGCAGCCAUGCCGCGUGAAUGAUGAAGGUCUUAGGAUUGUAAAGUUCUUUCACCGGGGACGAUAAUGACGGUACCCGGAGAAGAAGCCCCGGCUAACUUCGUG